CCGACUCGCCGUUCUCCAGGGCUGCACCUGAGGGCUGGCCUGUGUUUGCAGUCCCCCAGAGCCGAAUGCCUGCUCUGCUGAGCGGGGCCUGAGCCCAGCGGGGCAAGCCCUGGGCCUGGGUCUCUCUUCUUUCUCCUCCUCUGCCCCCAACCAUCCUGGCACCCAGCCCAGCCCCUGAAGGGACGACUUGGCUCUUGACUGUGGAGGUGGAUGGCCCGGACGCCCGCUCCAGGCCACGACCUCCUGGAUGAGCACAGGCCAGCUCGUACUGUGGGGUCUGGGGGCAAGGGCGAGGCUGCCCAGAGGGCUCUGGGGCCAGGGUCAGGGUGGGCCUGUGGGUCGGGGGUGCAGCACCGAGCCCCCGGCCCGGCCCCGCGGCCAGAGGCCAGAGACAGCCAUUCCUGAAGGGGCCUUUCUCCGAGCCGGGUGCGGCAGGAGCCCUCGCCUGCCCAGCCUCGCUGCCGGCGCCUCUCGGCCGGCGGCCACAGCCCUGAUGUUGCUUUAAUAAAACAAAGUUUUUCUUUCGUGCGCGGCCUCCAGUGGUGAAAGGGCCGAUUUACAGAGCCAGAGCCCCCUCCCGGCGCCCCGCCCGCCCGCCCUGCGGUGGCGCUGGCCUGGCCGCGGGUAAUUUAUAGCCUCAACUUAGCACACUUGCCCGGGCCAGGGCGGCAUGACUGGGGCCCUUUAUCCCGGCCCCGGGGCCGGGGCGGCUCAAGGCUCCAUUCACGGCCACCGCAGGCUCCCGCCCGGCCACGUUCCUCAUGCAGGCGUUUGGAAGCCCCGCGGCACCCGGUGGGUGAAGACAAGCUGUGUCGUUUGUGCCUUGGCGGCGGCCGCUCUCCAACCCCCAUGGCCCGGCCCCUCCCCAGCCCGGCCGCCCGUCCACAGCUCCAGACCCGGGGUCAACCACUUGUGCCAAGGAGCCUGAGAUCCCAGCCCAUGCCCAGCCAGUCAGAGUUCUAUUUCAGCUGACCGGGGCUACAGGGAGGCCAAGAAAGAGACCCUCCUCACCUGCCGCCGCCUCACACCCCACCGUGUAUCCUGCGGCCCAGACCCCAGCAAAGGAGGGCACAGGGCUGGCCUGGGGUGGACUGGGGUGGACCCUGCCAGUGGCUGCUGACCUCCCAGGCCACCUGGGCUUUCCUGGCCUGCGCAGUCUCCCGGAACUGCUUCCGCUGGCCCAGGGCCUGGGAGUGCCCCACACUCGGGCAGGGCCCUGGCAGCCGAAGGGAGGGUCUUUCUGAGCCAGUGGCUUUGGGACGUGCAGGGAAGGGGCUGGCGUACCGAGGUCACACUGAGUCUCCCUUCACCACGAGACAGGAGAGGCCUCCCUGAUGGUGGCUCUGGACUCAGGGCUGAGGCAGCUAUGCAGGAUGGCUGGAGCUCUGCGGUGCUCACUGUGGCCAGAUGCCACCAGGUAGUGGCGGGCAUCAGCCGGGCAGUUGCUGGUGUCAUGAAGAUAUCAGCCCACCUCCAUCCACCUGCCCAGGCCUGUCCGGGUUGGGCGUCCCCAGAGCCCUAGGCUGAGGCUGAGGCACCUGGGGCUGUGCCGCUCCCCUCCCCGCCCCGUUCCAGCCGGGGCCUGCCUUACCCUCCCUGCCCCAGGGAUGGUUUCUGGCAGGGAACGCAGUGUCCUCUGAGACCCGUCAGGUCCCAACAGAUGGGAGCGCUGUUCCCUCCCACAGCCCAUGCCCAGUGGCCCCAAGUGGGCCCUCAGCUUCCUCUUCUGGCUCUCAGACCAGCACAGCACGCGGCAGGUGCCCACGAGGUCCAACUGGGCUCCCUCAAGCCUUCUGCCCUCUCGCCUUGCUGCCCGCUGUCCCCACUGGCUCUUUCCUGUCACCCUCCUGCCCCCCACAUCACCCCC
rnacentral:lncRNA from 1 species